GAUGAACGCUGGCGGCGUGCCUAAUACAUGCAAGUCGAACGGGGAGUAGCAAUACUCUUAGUGGCGAACGGGUGAGUAACGCGUUGGUACCUGCCCCGAAGCGGGGGAUAACGGACCGAAAGGUCCGCUAAUACCCCAUGUGCUCGGUAACGAGUAAAGGUGAAAACCACUUUGGGAGGGGCCUGCGUCCCAUCAGCUAGUUGGUAAGGUAACGGCUUACCAAGGCGAUGACGGGUAGGGGACCUGAGAGGGUGGCCCCCCACAAUGGAACUGAAACACGGUCCAUACACCUACGGGUGGCAGCAGUAGGGAAUAUUGGUAAUGGGCGCAAGCCUGAACCAGCAACGCCGCGUGUGCGAUGACGGCCUUCGGGUUGUAAAGCACUUUUGACUGGGACGAGGAAGGACGGUACCGGUCGAAUCAGCCUCGGCUAACUACGU
rnacentral:rRNA from 1 species